rnacentral:rRNA from 1 species
ACGAACGCUGGCGGCAGGCUUAACACCUGCCAGUCGCGCGCCCCGCAAGGGGAGCGGCCGACGGGUGAGUAACGCGUGGGAACGUACCUUUUGGUUCGGAACAACUCCGGGAAACUGGAGCUAAUACCGGAUAAGCCCUAACGGGGAAAGAUUUAUCGCCGAAAGAUCGGCCCGCGUCUGAUUAGCUAGUUGGUGAGGUAACGGCUCACCAAGGCGACGAUCAGUAGCUGGUCUGAGAGGAUGAUCAGCCACACUGGGACUGAGACACGGCCCAGACUCCUACGGGAGGCAGCAGUGGGGAAUAUUGGACAAUGGGCGCAAGCCUGAUCCAGCCAUGCCGCGUGAGUGACGAAGGCCUUAGGGUUGUAAAGCUCUUUUGUCCGGGAAGAUAAUGACUGUACCGGAAGAAUAAGCCCCGGCUAACUUCGUG